GGUAGUUCAGUUGGUUAGAAUGCCUGCCUGUCACGCAGGAGGUCGCGGGUUCGAGUCCCGUCCGG
rnacentral:tRNA from 1 species